rnacentral:rRNA from 1 species
UACGUAGGGUGCAAGCGUUGUCCGGAAUUACUGGGCGUAAAGCGUGCGCAGGCGGUGAUGUAAGACAGAUGUGAAAUCCCCGGGCUCAACCUGGGAACUGCAUUUGUGACUGCAUCGCUAGAGUACGGCAGAGGGGGAUGGAAUUCCGCGUGUAGCAGUGAAAUGCGUAGAUAUGCGGAGGAACACCGAUGGCGAAGGCAAUCCCCUGGGCCUGUACUGACGCUCAUGCACGAAAGCGUGGGGAGCAAACAGG